ACUUAUUUCAUCACUCAGGUCCCUGCCUUUCAAGCCUGGCUGGACUAUUUCCAAUCCCUGCUAUUUGAUUGGUGCUGGACACAAAUGCAUUUACCUAGAACAUGAACUUGCUUAAUUCAACAUUAAUCAACUAAUUGGACUUUGGAUUCUUGACAUCCUAUUGUUUAACUUAACCAUUUAUGAAGAAGGAGAAAAAAGAAAGCUGGAAAUAAAACCACAGUAAGCA